UACGUAGGGUGCAAGCGUUGUCCGGAAUUACUGGGCGUAAAGAGUUCGUAGGCGGUUUGUCGCGUCGUUUUGUGAAAACCAGCAGCUCAACUGCUGGCUUGCAGGCGAUACGGGCAGACUUGAGUACUGCAGGGGAGACUGGAAUUCCUGGUGUAGCGGUGAAAUGCGCAGAUAUCAGGAGGAACACCGGUGGCGAAGGCGGGUCUCUGGGCAGUGAACUG
rnacentral:rRNA from 1 species